UGGUCAACAAUGAACCAGCAGUACAGAGUGAACCAUGUAAAUAAUUCAGAAAUGUGACGUUGCCAUUUGGUGCAAACUGCAUUAGGUAAGCGCCUUUGAGGCCCCUCCCGCCUUCCCCAGUCGACAGUGAGCUAGCGGCGCGGGAGGCCGUGCGAGCCCAUGUUUGGUGUUUUCGUGCCGAAAAUUGUAUAAAAAUAACAUGGGCCGAACAAAAUAAGAUAGAUCUGCUAGGAAAAAAGGAUCCCACGUACCUGAAGCAAUGAAGGCUGCUGUCGAUUUACAUCUCAACGGUAUGAGCUUAAGAAAGGCUGCAAGAGAUAGCAACAUACCAUAUCCAACACUGAGAAGAUAUGUGAUAAAAUUCAAGACAGACAAGUCUGCUUCGAUGGAACCAAAUUAUAGCGUAAAUAAAUAUUCACGGAGGAACAAGAAACAAGUCUAAAGUCUUAAAAAGCAUAGUAAAGCAAAGUAUAGCAUAGUAUUGCACGAGCCAUAUCAUCCAAUCCAACGAAUUUCAAAUCAUUUUUUGACAAUCUUUAAGAAGUUUAUGGAAGAUUUCCUCAAUUUGGUGACGGCACAAGGCACGAGGGUUCAUAAUCUUGAUGAAACUAUGUUUAUGAUUUUUCCGGAAACUCUUUUAGAAAAGAAGCUAUUUGAUUGUUACUACAAAUAAAUAGGUACUUUAAAUAUA